AGGAUGAACGCUGGCGGCGUGCUUAACACAUGCAAGUCACGGGGGCCCAGCAAUGGGCAACCGGCGAACGGGUGCGUAACACGUGAGCAACCUACCGAAAUGAGGGGGAUAGCCGGCCCAACGGCCGGGUAAUACCGCAUACGCUCGAGACCAGGCAUUUGGACUCGAGGAAACCUCCGGGGCGUUUCGAGGGGCUCGCGGCCUAUCAGCUUGUUGGUGAGGUAAUGGCUCACCAAGGCUUCGACGGGUAGCCGGCCUGAGAGGGUGACCGGCCACACUGGGACUGAGACACGGCCCAGACUCCUACGGGAGGCAGCAGUGGGGAAUAUUGGACAAUGGGCGGAAGCCUGAUCCAGCAACGCCGCGUGAGGGAUGACGGCCUUCGGGUUGUAAACCUCUUUCAGCGGGGCGAAGUUUUGUCUUUUGGGCGAAGUGACGGUACCGCAGAGAGCACCGGCCAACUACGUGCCAGCAGCCGC
rnacentral:rRNA from 1 species